rnacentral:lncRNA from 1 species
CUUUUUUAGAAUGUUAAUAAGAACACAGAAAGAUGCAUAGGAGCAAACUCAACUGACAGAAAUAAAGACACCUUGAGAAAUCAACUCAAUCCAAACAAGAGCAACAAAAUUGGACAUGUGUGUGGUGCCUGUCUUGGGACAUAUUAGAAGUUUGCAAAGAGCUGAUUUCCCAAAGAAGAAAAUGGUUUGAGAGAUGGAGA